GAAUCUGCAGGCAGAAUAUGAUCGUCUCAAGGAGCAGCAUGAACAUAAAGGCCUGUCCCCACUGCCGUCCCCUCCUGAGAUGAUGCCCACCUCGCCACAAAGUCCCCGGGAUGCUGAGCUCAUUGCUGAGGCCAAGCUACUGCGUCAACACAAAGGCCGCCUGGAAGCCAGGAUGCAAAUCCUGGAAGACCACAAUAAACAGCUGGAGUCCCAGUUACACAGGCUCAGGCAGCUGCUGGAGCAACCCCAGGCCGAGGCCAAGGUGAAUGGCACAACGGUGUCCUCUCCUUCUACCUCUCUUCAGAGGUCAGACAGCAGCCAGCCUAUGCUGCUCCGGGUGGUUGGCAGUCAAACUUCAGAAUCCAUGGGCGAGGAAGACCUUCUCAGUCCUCCCCAGGACUCAAGCACAGGGUUAGAGGAAGUGAUGGAGCAACUCAACAACUCCUUCCCUAGUUCCAGAGGACACAAUGUAGGAAGCCUUUUCCACUUGGCAGAUGAUUUGGGCAGAGCGAUGGAGUCCUUAGUUUCAGUUAUGACAGAUGAAGAAGGGGCAGAAUAAAUGUUUUACAACUCCUGAUUCCCGCAUGGUUUUUAUAAUAUUCAUACAACCAAGAGGAUUAGACAGUAAGAGUUUACAAGAAAAAAAAAAUCUAUAUUUUUGUGAAGGGUAGUGGUACUAUACUGUAGAUUUCAGUAGUUUCUAAGUCUGUUAUUGUUUUGUUAACAAUGGCAGGUUUUACACGUCUAUGCAAUUGUACAAAAAGUUAUAAGAAAACUACAUGUAAAAUCUUGAUAGCUAAAUAACUUGCCAUUUCUUUAUAUGGAACGCAUUUUGGGUUGUUUAAAAAUUUAUAACAGUUAUAAAGAAAGAUUGUAAACUAAUGUGUGCUUUAUAAAAAAAAAGUUGUUUAUAAAAACCCCUAAAAACAAACACAUACCUACACACACACACACACACGCACACACAAACACACAAACACAAACUGAGGCAGCGCAUUGUUUUGCAUCCUUUUAGCGUGAUAUCCAUAUGAAAUUCAUGGAUUUUUUUUUCUUUUCUUGCAUAUUAAAGAUAGGACUUCCUCUAAGACCACCAAAUGACUACUUCGCAUAGCUCUGUUUGGAAUUGUUGACUGAGUGGGACUGGCCAUGGGUUUUCGUUUUACACAUCUAUAUGUCUAUCAGUAUGUAAGCACUGUAGGUAUACAGGUAAAUAUAAAUUUCAAGAGACAUUUAAAAUUUCUUGUUCAAAUAUUCUUGCCACUUCCUAAUGGGAAGAAAUUGCUUCUCAUCACCCAGGCUCACCUGCUUGGUCUAGAAUGAAUCCUCCCUGGAGCCUGAAGCCAGAAGGAAACUACCACACUAAAACAUGGUCUAGGGUUCCAGAUGUUUCUCAUUUUGAACUUUCCAGUGACAACUAGAGUAUUGAAUUUUUUUAAGGGACAUAUGAAUGAAUACACAGGACUUAUUAUGUCAGAGUAAUCCACUAGUUGAUACAUUCAGCUUCCUGCUGCUGACAAUGCCAUGGUUUAGAGUUAGUGAUGCUUUGAUGAAAGAGCAUCUGAAGGCAUUUUUAACUCCCAGGAGGGCUGUAGAUUCCCUCAGAGAGAGCAGACCACUCUUUAUGUAAAGGAUUGGACGACUGUUUAUAACCUUACAGAGAGAGCUUUAUAAUUACAACGCAGUUAUUUUCUCACAGUCAAACAGCAGUGGGUGUCUCAGUUUUCCAGUUUUGUAAGAUUUUUUUCCCCAUUGCAAUGAGUUUGUAAAUGCCACAAGACUUAAUUUAAAAUAACCCUUGUGAAAAUGUGAAAGACAGUUGCCCCAUCACAUUAUGACACUGUUAAAUAUCCACCCAGACGCCCAAGACCCCUGUGUUCCAGUUCGGCAUUUUUCUCUGUAAGUAAGUCCAGGCAGGUUUGUUGAGUGGGAACGCAAAUGGAUUCAAAUGUUCCAAGAGGUACUCCAAACCCCUUUUUGGUGGAUUAGGCAGGUUAAAUAUAUAUAAGUGAACAGAAAUUGUUCGAAAAGAGGAGUACAGGCAAGAGGACUAACUGGUAGGAAAAAAAGCUUUACUCUUUCAUUCUGUCUUAUUAGUCUUUCACUCUUUUUUAUCAUCCAUUCAAUAGAAAUCACCCUGUGAUCUAUCAUUUUGCAAAUCUGUUACCUCUUACAUCAAGUGUAAUUAACUUUUGGAGAGUGGGUUUUGUUCCUUAUUUUACUAAUGAUAAUUAACAUCAAACAUGGCUUCUCAUGCUAUUUCUACCUCACUUUGGUUUUGGGGUGUUCCUAAUAAUUGUGCAACCUGAUUUCACAGCUUCACCACCUGUCCAUUGUGUGAACAUUUUCCUCCAUUUUCUUUUUCCUUUAUAAUUUCCAAAAGAAAACCCAAAGCUCUAAGGUAACAAAUGACAUGAAGAUUUGAUUUUAGUCUUGGCAUUUUUUUUCCUUAAUGUGACACUGGACUUUUUCUUUACCUGAGGUUUUGGGCUUUUUUUUUUUUUUUUUUAACCAUGAUUUAAAACAAGGGGUUACUUUAUUUCCUACUAAGAAGUUUAAGUUUCAUUCUAAAAUCAGAGGUAAAUAGAGUGCUUGAUUUUGUUUUAAUCUUUUUUGUUUUAUUUUAUCUUUUAGACAUUAGUUCUGGAGUGAGUCUCAAAAUAUUUGAAUAAAAACUGAGAGCUUUAUUGCUACAUUUUACACAUUAAUUUGGACAUUAUUUCAUGUUCCUUAUAACCACCAAGUAGUAAACUGUAAGUCAUAAUGUAACUGAAACAUAAACAUCACAUGGCAUGUUAUGUCAUUGUUUUCAGGUACUGGGUUCUUACUUGCGUAUCGUAAUAUAUUGUGUUUUAACACCAACACUGUAACAUUUACUAAUUAUUUUUUUAAAACUUCAGUUUUACUGCAUUUUCACAACAUAUCAGACUUCACCAAAUAUAUGCCUUACUAUUGUAUUAUAUUACUGCUUUACUGUGUAUUCUCAAUAAAGCACGCAGUUAUGUUACAAAAAAUGUCGACUGCAUUGUUUUUAUUUUAAUUUAGUCACUUUUACAUAGAUAAUACUUUCAUAUUGUCAAAAAAUGAAAAAUGUACACAGCCAGUGAAAAGACCCUCACUACCUUAUUCCCACUUCAUCCUCACUGCCUUCUGAAUAAAUG
rnacentral:lncRNA from 1 species